CUCUGUUGUUAGAGAAGAACGACGAGGAGAGUGGAAAGCUCCUCGUGUGACGGUAUCUAACCAGAAAGGGACGGCUAACUACGUGCCAGCAGCCGCGGUAAUACGUAGGUCCCGAGCGUUGUCCGGAUUUAUUGGGCGUAAAGCGAGCGCAGGUGGUUUAUUAAGUCUGGUGUAAAAGGCAGUGGCUCAACCAUUGUAUGCAUUGGAAACUGGUAGACUUGAGUGCAGGAGAGGAGAGUGGAAUUCCAUGUGUAGCGGUGAAAUGCGUAGAUAUAUGGAGGAACACCGGUGGCGAAAGCGGCUCUCUGGCCUGUAACUGACACUGAGGCUCGAAAGCGUGGGGAGCAAACAGGAUU
rnacentral:rRNA from 1 species